AAAAAAAUGUAUCUUGUUAAUCACAUUACUACCCAAAUUAGCUUCUUGCAACAAUGGGCUCUAUUUUCUGUUUAAAAAUUUUGAACAUCUAAAAGAUAGCAAUUUUUGUAUCAAAUGGAAAAUCUCAACAUCACAGUUUCUAUAACAGAAGGAGCACAAAAUAAUUUAUAAAAUCUACGAAUCAAAAGAGUUACACAUGUAGUACUUGACAAGGAAAGACUCGACAACAAUUAUAAGAAAGUUGGGAAAAUAGGAUAUAAAAGAAGAAUUAAUGAGAAACGAAGAUAUCUGAUAAAAUUGCCAGAUUUACCAAUAAAUUUGGUCGAGAUCGACUGCAGUAGUUCAGUUAAUGUUUAAAAUAAAAAUAUAGGCAAGCAGGGCAAAUAAUGAGGCAAGUGCUUAGAAGAAAAUAAUUUGGCGAUGUAACAUAGGACGUUGUAACUGACUUGUCUGGGAAUCAAUUGAUUGAUCUGUUGCUGGGGUUAGGAGAAUUACUUGUGACAAGCAGUCAGGUCUGAUAUAGAAAUAAGACAGAAAUGAAACGCGGCGAAGAAAAUAGAAAGAGACAGAGUGAAGUGUGUAUCCACAUAACACUAAUGACAAGACAUCAUUAUAUUUUUGCAAAUAUCGCAUUAAGAAUCAUGCACAUAAUUGUCUUAUCAUAUCUUGUCAACUGUAGAUGAGGGCUAAGAAAAAACAAUGCAUAUAAGGUCCCAUGGUCUAGUGGUCAGGACACUGGACUUUGAAUCCAGUAACCCGAGUUCAAAUCUCGGUAGGACCUUUUAAUUUUUCUCACUAAUAUCAUACAUAUAUUAAUACUGCUAUCACAUAAAUUUAUAUUCAUGAUUUACUUGACUAUUUGUCGAAUUGUGGUAUACACCUGUGCACAAGAUGGGUGCCUUCAUUCUAAA
rnacentral:lncRNA from 1 species